rfam:Dipodomys ordii contig_68691, whole genome shotgun sequence.
GAGAAGGUGGCUCAAUGGUAGAGUGCUUGUCUUGCAUGCAUGAGACCCUGGGUUCGAUUCCUCACCACCACA